rnacentral:rRNA from 1 species
AACGAACGCUGGCGGCAUGCCUAACACAUGCAAGUCGAACGAGACCUUCGGGUCUAGUGGCGCACGGGUGCGUAACGCGUGGGAACCUGCCCUUAGGUUCGGAAUAACUCCCCGAAAGGGGUGCUAAUACCGGAUAAUGUCUUCGGACCAAAGAUUUAUCGACUUUGGAUGGGCCCGCGUUGGUUUAGCUAGUUGGUAGGGUAAAAGCCUACCAAGGCGACGAUCCAUAGCUGGUCUGAGAGGAUGAUCAGCCACACUGGGACUGAGACACGGCCCAGACUCCUACGGGAGGCAGCAGUGGGGAAUAUUGGACAAUGGGCGAAAGCCUGAUCCAGCAAUGCCGCGUGAGUGAUGAAGGCCUUAGGGUUGUAAAGCUCUUUUACCCGGGAUGAUAAUGACAGUACCGGGAGAAUAAGCUCCGGCUAACUCCGUG